rnacentral:rRNA from 1 species
UACGUAGGGCGCAAGCGUUAUCCGGAAUUAUUGGGCGUAAAGAGCGUGUAGGCGGCCAGAUAGGUCCGUUGUGAAAACUCGAGGCUCAACCUCGAGACGCCGAUGGAAACCAUUUGGCUAGAGUCCGGAAGAGGAGAGUGGAAUUCCUGGUGUAGCGGUGAAAUGCGCAGAUAUCAGGAAGAACACCCGUGGCUAAGGCGGCUCUCUAGUACGGUACUGACGCUGAGACGCGAAAGCGUGGGGAGCGAACAGG